GUAAUAUAUAGAUAACGUGCCUCUUAGUCUGGGAUAGCCAUUGGAAACGAUGAUUAAUACCGGAUACUCCUUCUAACUCUAAUGUUAGUCGGGAAAGUUUUUCGCUAAGAGAUCGGUCUAUAUCCCAUCAGUUAGUUGGUAAGGUAACGGCUUACCAAGGCAAUGACGGGUAGCGGGUUUGAGAGGAUGAUCCGCCACACUGGUACUGAGACACGGACCAGACUCCUACGGGAGGCAGCAGUGAGGAAUAUUGCACAAUGGGGGAAACCCUGAUGCAGCAACGCCGCGUGGAGGAUGACGCAUUUCGGUGUGUAAACUCCUUUUAUGAGUCAAGAAAAUGACGGUAGCUCAUGAAUAAGCACCGGCUAACUCCGUGCCAGCAGCCGCGGUAAUACGGAGGGUGCAAGCGUUACUCGGAAUCACUGGGCGUAAAGGACGCGUAGGCGGGAUGCCAAGUCUGAUGUGAAAUCCUAUGGCUUAACCAUAGAACUGCAUUGGAAACUGGUAACCUAGAGUAUGGGAGGGGGAGAUGGAAUUAGUGGUGUAGGGGUAAAAUCCGUAGAUAUCACUAGGAAUACCGAAAGCGAAGGCGAUCUCCUGGAACAUAACUGACGCUAAGGCGUGAAAGCGUGGGGAGCAAACGGGAUUAGAUACCCCGGUAGUCCACGCCCUAAACGAUGAACACUAGUCGUCGCUCUGCUUGUCAGGGCGGUGAUGCACUUAACAGAUUAAGUGUUCCGCCUGGGGAGUACGGUCGCAAGAUUAAAACUCAAAGGAAUAGACGGGGACCCGCACAAGUGGUGGAGCAUGUGGUUUAAUUCGAAGAUACGCGAAAAACCUUACCUGGCCUUGACAUUGAUAGAAUCCAGCAGAGAUGCAGGGGUGCCCUUCGGGGAGCUUGAAAACAGGUGCUGCACGGCUGUCGUCAGCUCGUGUCGUGAGAUGUUGGGUUAAGUCCCGCAACGAGCG
rnacentral:rRNA from 1 species